rnacentral:rRNA from 1 species
UACGUAGGCAGCGAGCGUUGUUCGGAGUUACUGGGCGUAAAGAGUGCGUAGGCGGUUUUCUAAGUUUGGUGUGAAAUCUCCCGGCUUAACUGGGAGGGUGCGCCGAAGACUGGAAGGCUUGAGUAUGGGAGAGGUAAGCGGAAUUCCUGGUGUAGCGGUGAAAUGUGUAGAUAUCAGGAGGAACACCUGCGGUGUAGACGGCUUACUGGACCAUCACUGACGCUGAGGCACGAAAGCGUGGGUAGCAAACAGG